rnacentral:rRNA from 1 species
UACGGAGGGGGCUAGCGUUGUUCGGAAUUAUUGGGCGUAAAGGGCUCGUAGGCGGUUUGUCGCGUCGGGAGUGAAAACGCCGUGCUUAACACGGCGCUUGCUUUCGAUACGGGCAGACUAGAGGUAUUCAGGGGAGAACGGAAUUCCUGGUGUAGCGGUGAAAUGACGCAGAUAUCUGGAGGAAUACCGGUGGCGAAGGCGGCAUCCUGGACCGGCAUUGACGCUGAUGAGCGAAAGCUAGGGGAGCAAACGGGG